rnacentral:rRNA from 1 species
UACGUAGGGUGCGAGCGUUAAUCGGAAUUACUGGGCGUAAAGCGUGCGCAGGCGGUUCGUCGUGUCCGAUGUGAAAGCCCCGGGCUCAACCUGGGAAUGGCAUUGGAAACUGGCGGGCUUGAGUGUGGCAGAGGGGGUGGAAUUCCGCGUGUAGCAGUGAAAUGCGUAGAGAUGCGGAGGGACACCGAUGGCGAAGGCAGCCCCCUGGGCUGACACUGACGCUCAGGCACGAAAGCGUGGGGAGCAAACAGG